rnacentral:rRNA from 1 species
GCAUAAUCACUUGCCCCUUAAUUAGGGGCUAGUAUGAACGGACAAACGAGAUUAUACCUGUCUCCUUUAUACCUAUAAAAAUUAAUCUACAGGUGAAGAAGCCUGUAUUCAUAUAAAAGACAAGAAGACCCUGUCGAGCUUUAAUUACUCUAUAAGAUAACCUAACACAUGCCCCUCCAUACCCCCCCUUAUAAGUAAUAUUUGUUGGGGCGACAAUGGAAUAUAUAAAACCUCCACCACACCUAAAACACCAAGUUUCCUCAAAGAUCCCCUACAGAUACUAGGCAUCAGCUACCGCAGGGAUAACAGACUAAUCUUCCUUAAGAGCCCAAAUCUACAGGAAGGCUUGG